UUAAUUGAAACCAAAAUAGAGGUAUAUUACUGUUAAUAAUAUUAUUGAAAUCCCUUUCCAAUUAAG
rnacentral:tRNA from 1 species